rnacentral:rRNA from 1 species
AGCGGCGGACGGCUGAGUAACGCGUGGGAACGUACCCCAAAGUGAGGAAUAACCGCUCGAAAGGGUGGCUAAUGCCGCAUAUGGUCUUCGGAUUAAAGGAUUUAUCCGCUUUGGGAACGGCCUGCGUACGAUUAGAUAGUUGGUGAGGUAAAGGCUCACCAAGUCUACGAUCGUUAACUGGUCUGAGAGGAUGAUCAGUCAGACUGGAACUGAGACACGGUCCAGACUCCUACGGGAGGCAGCAGUGAGGAAUCUUCCACAAUGGGCGAAAGCCUGAUGGAGCAACGCCGCGUGCAGGAUGAAGGCCUUCGGGUCGUAAACUGCUUUUAUAAGUGAAGAAUAUGACGGUAACUUAUGAAUAAGCACCGGCUAACUACGUGCCAGCAGCCGCGGUCAUACGUAGGGUGCAAGCAUUAUCCGGAGUGACUGGGCGUAAAGAGUUGCGUAGGUGGUUUGUUAAGUGAAUAGUGAAAUCUGGUGGCUCAACCAUACAGACUAUUAUUCAAACUGGCAAACUCGAGAAUAGCAGAGGUAACUGGAAUUUCUAGUGUAGGAGUGAAAUCCGUAGAUAUUAGAAGGAACACCAAUGGCGUAGGCAGGUUACUGGGCUAUUUCUGACACUGAGGCACGAAAGCGUGGGGAGCGAACCGGAUUAGAUACCCGGGUAGUCCACGCCGUAAACGAUGGAUACUAGCUGUUGGAGGUAUCGACCCCUUCAGUAGCGAAGCUAACGCGUUAAGUAUCCCGCCUGUGGAGUACGGUCGCAAGACUAAAACAUAAAGGAAUUGACGGGGACCCGCACAAGCGGUGGAGCGUGUUCUUUAAUUCGACGAUAAACGAAGAACCUU